UCUGGUAUUGAUUGGUGCUUGCAUCAUGAUUUACAUUUGAGUGAGUGGCGAACUGGUGAGUAACACGUGGGAAACCUGCCCAGAAGCGGGGGAUAACACCUGGAAACAGAUGCUAAUACCGCAUAACAACUUGGACCGCAUGGUCCGAGUUUGAAAGAUGGCUUCGGCUAUCACUUUUGGAUGGUCCCGCGGCGUAUUAGCUAGAUGGUGGGGUAACGGCUCACCAUGGCAAUGAUACGUAGCCGACCUGAGAGGGUAAUCGGCCACAUUGGGACUGAGACACGGCCCAAACUCCUACGGGAGGCAGCAGUAGGGAAUCUUCCACAAUGGACGAAAGUCUGAUGGAGCAACGCCGCGUGAGUGAAGAAGGGUUUCGGCUCGUAAAACUCUGUUGUUAAAGAAGAACAUAUCUGAGAGUAACUGUUCAGGUAUUGACGGUAUUUAACCAGAAAGCCACGGCUAACUACGUGCCAGCAGCCGCGGUAAUACGUAGGUGGCAAGCGUUGUCCGGAUUUAUUGGGCGUAAAGCGAGCGCAGGCGGUUUUUUAAGUCUGAUGUGAAAGCCUUCGGCUCAACCGAAGAAGUGCAUCGGAAACUGGGAAACUUGAGUGCAGAAGAGGACAGUG
rnacentral:rRNA from 2 species